rnacentral:lncRNA from 1 species
GACGCUCCCUGUAAUUGGGGUCAGACUCGUCGGCAAUUCCGUGUUGGUGUCUCGCCCAACACUGCACCAGCAGCACUUUCCGUGUCGUUCAUGUUUCCCACAAACAUCAUCUUUAAUGAGGACGCAUAUCAUCCUUUACUUAACCCCAUCCUCUCUUGGGAUAUUUUGGUCAUUUCUACGUGUAGAAGAUCAUUCUGUUCUAACGCUCUGGUGAAAAGGCCGGACUAUAAAUCUUUAUCUUCCCUUGAGAAUACGCACUUUACACCUUUGGGUUCCCGUAUUAUUUUCCCUUCUAUUUUUUCCAAGAGUGUAUUCUAUGCCUGGUGCUGCCAUGUGACUUUUCCUAACACAUCAUCGGGUAUGCCAUGUGAUCUCAUGCUCACUGUGAUUUUCUCGGCUCCUACUGGGAGCGGGGGAGGGCCUGGGAGGAGGAGGAGGGCCCUGCAAAGACGUUCAUCCUGGGCUCUCGGCUCUUGAUAGCCUUGUUACUGUUGACUUCUUUGUUGCCAUGGAAGCUCCUCGGCUUCUCAGGUGCUUUCUCACUCCUCCAGCACGCUGUUUUCAGCUGUGCCUCUGUUUCUUCUUGCCUGGCUACCCUGCCUGAUGCAAAAUGAAAGCUUUUUAACAUAAACUUGGGCAUGUCAGUUAUGUCUCCCAAAAUACACCUUUCCAGUUGUGCUAUAUAUGUUUCUAAUCGAUUUCCUCACCCUUUUGGAUUUUCUGCACAUGCUAAAUUGUCAUGCACGCAUGUGCAUGCAUGCAUCUCUCUCUCUCUGUGUUUGUAAACACAUCAUGAUUAAAGAAAAUAUUCACUUUUUAUGCUAUAUACUUCUAAUUUGUUUCAAUUUUACAAGCAUUUGUCAUUAUUUGAAUGCAAAAUGUGAAAUAUUCCCACAGAUACUUGAUUGAAUACUUGGAUUCCAGCUGUUGGUGAUUUUUUUUCUAAAAUAGGACCUAGCUAUGCAGCUGUGGCUGUCCUAGGACGCCCUAUGUAGACCAGGCUUGCCUCAAGCUCACAGUGCUCUGCCUGCUUCUGCCUCUUGAGUGCUGUCACUAAAUGUGUGUACCACCAGGCCUGGCCCUGUUGGUACUUUCGUGAGUCUGUGAAAGCCUGCCUAUUUGAGGCUGAUAGCUGGUGGGAGGCCUUUGAGAGCUGUAGCCCUUUUCAGACCUAGCUCUCUGUUUUACAACUCUCCAAGUUGUGACCAGUGCCCUGAAUGUUUCCAGUGCCAUA